UACGUAGGGACCAAGCGUUGUUCGGAUUUACUGGGCGUAAAGGGCGCGUAGGCGGCAUGUUAAGUCAGCUGUGAAAUCUCCGAGCUUAACUCGGAACUGUCAGCUGAUACUGAUGUGCUAGAGUGCAGAAGGGGCAAUCGGAAUUCUUGGUGUAGCGGUGAAAUGCGUAGAUAUCGAGAGGAACACCUGCGGCGAAGGCGGGUUGCUGGGCUGACACUGACGCUGAACUGCGAAAGCUAGGGGAGCGAACGGG
rnacentral:rRNA from 1 species